rnacentral:rRNA from 1 species
GGGUCAGUAGGUUGGUCGUGCCACCGGUACGUACUGGUCUCACUGAUUCCUCCUUCCUGAAGAACCGUAAUGCCAUUAAUUUGGUGUUGCGGGGGAACAGGACUGUUACUUUGAAAAAAUUAGAGUGUUUAAAGCAAGCUAACGCUUGAAUACACUAGCAUGGAAUAAUGAAAUAGGACGAUCGAUCCUAUUUUGUUGGUUUCUAGGAUUGACGUA